CCCUUAGAUGUUCUGGGCUGCACGCGCGCUACACUGAAGCUAUCGACACGUUUUCCCUCCCUGAGAAGGGCGGGUAACCUUUUGAAUCAGCUUCGUGGUAGGGAUCGGGGCUUGCAAUUGUUCCCCGUGAACCAGGAAUUCCUAGUAGACGCGAGUCAUAAGCUCGCAUCGAUUAAGUCCCUGCCCUUUGUACACACCGCCCGUCGCUACUACCGAUUGAACGUUUUAGUGAGGCAUUUGGACCGACGCAUCUCAGUUUAACCGCUGGUUUGUGUUGGAAAGACUUCCAAACUUGAGCGUUUAGAGGAAGUAAAAGUCGUAACA
rnacentral:rRNA from 1 species